GGAGUCAGCACCGCGGGUCUCCCGGCAGCCCAGGAGGCCACGCCCCAUUCCCCCCUCUCCACAAACCCCACUCACCAGGAGUAGGUGGUGCCCAGGUCGAUGCCGACCACCGUGCCCACGUCCUCCUUCUUGUCCUCCUCCUCGGCCCGCGCCGCGCCGAGCAGCAGCAGCACCGCAGCCACCAGGGACAGCUUCAUCCUGCCGGCGCCGUAGGCCAGUGGGUCAGCAGUGAGUCGGGACGUCACGGACAAUCCAACCACAGGCCGCAGCACCGGAGCGCACCGAGGAGACUGAUCUGAGGGUACAAGGCCCGGGGUCAGCAGGAGCAGCAGACAAGGCGAAGGGCAGGUCCGGAAGGACAGGCCGCGGCGCUUACCUCUCAGACUCACAAAAAUCCCCCAAGUCGAUGAGUCUGUGAUGUCUCAGCCAGCGUCGACCGCGCCGUCGCCGAGGCCGCUUAUAUACCCUCCCCCCAGCCCCGUCGUGGAGGCCACCGAUUGGCGUAGGCGCUGCUCGUUGGAGGCCGCUGAUUGGUCCAGGCCACCAAGCUGGCCGCCGCCGAUUCGAAGCGGCCUCCUCCGCAGCUAACGUCACAGCUACGCCCCCCCGGCGGACUCAUUGGCGGCCGGUAGCAUCCGACAGCCGCCAAUGGGAGGCAACAUCCGCCCCACGCGCAGUCCUCAUUGGCUCAGCAGCUGUCUGUCUCUUGUGCGACCUCUCACCCGGAGGCCGUUUCCGCUGGUAACGGCAGAAGUCCCGCCUUCACACUGGGCCCUCGGGGGCCGGGAUUAGAGUGGACUAGGUGAUUCCCUCGAGGCUCUGGGUUUGGGUUCUUGGUUCUUUCUCCGCUGUUUGCUUGACCCUCCUCUCUCCUUCCUCUCGAAGCGGGAAGCGACUCUCCCCCUCUCCCCAGCCUCCAAACCCGCCCCAGGCAGGCAGGUCUCAGCGUAGAUGCUGUGAUCCCCUCAGAACAAAUUUCUUUGCCCUUUACAGCCGCUACGGUUUGGGGGUGUCCGAGCCUCGGGGCGUGUUGUUCUCCCGCCCGCAGCCCUGUCCGGAGCCGUGCCCGGCCGCGGAUAGUGGCUCCUAGACAUUCUUUCGGCCCUGCUCUCCCUAGCCAGGUUAUGCUGGUGACUCAGAAUUGACUAUGGAAGUUGCAUCACCCAUCUUACAACAGGGCUUGUAAUACUGCUGUAACACUGACCCUCUCUAUAGGUUGCAUCAGUUCACAUCAAGAUAGAAAUCACCAUCAAGCCACAUUACAGCUUCAUUUCAAGCAAACUUUGUGUAUAUAACAUCCAUUUACAUCAAAAAGCUCUCAGUUUCAGCCUUGUCUUUGAUAGAGUAAUCUUUUGCAACUCUUCCUUUUUUUUUUUUUUUCUCUAAGAUUUAGAAAAGUAAUAUCUGGCUAACUUUCAAAGGGAAUGGGUAUAUUGGUGGUUGUAGUAUUUUUUAAAAACUAGGUAUAUUAGGUAUAUGUUAGAGUAUAUUCCAAAGUGCAAUCACUUCUGGUUUGAAUAGAAAAGUGCAUAGAUAAAUCUAGCUUCCUGAAUGUUAAAUACCAAUAAUAGUAUUGGUGCCAGUUACCAAUAUUUAAGCAUAAUAUUUAAACACUUGAUGUGCAUUAUCUCUUUUUAAUUCUUAUGAAAGCAUUUCUUUCUUUAACCCUUAUUUUUAGAGCUAAGGAAUCUGAAGCCCCAAGAGGUGAAGAAAUUUGCCCAGGAGAUCACACAGCUUAAAAGAUAGGGAGCCAGGAUUUGAGCCUUGGAAAUUUGGUUUUUAAUUUCUGUAGUCAAGACUGUCAUCCUGAUCUUUGGCUUUAUAAGAUUUAUGUCUUGUUUAGGAUAUAGAAUAGUGGCCUAGUUUGCAAGUGUUUUGAUAAUGAGUGAUAGACAAAUGUAGAUUUUUAUCCAGUAAUUUAAACCAGCUCAUUUCACUUGUACUCCUAUGGGUAAGAUAGUAGAUUUCUAUUUCUCAUCUGAUCUCAGAAAGCUAGGCAGAGUUAGGACUGAUUAGAUUUGGAUAUCACUUGGUUUCUAAAUCUUCCUUUCUGAAAGGGAAUUAAAGACAUAGAACAGAAAGGAAAAGGAAAAGGCUUAUAGAAUUGGCAAAUUGAAUGUUUUAGACACCGAUAAUUGAGAUUUUUCCGCAUCCUUUGUUAAAGAAAAUAUUCAGCAAGAGAUAAGGUACAUGAUCUUGGAAAAAAACAACCUACAAGAGCCUCAGUUUCUUCAUCUAUUGAAUGUCAGAGAUUUCUAUCCUGUCUCUCCUAGUGGUUUGUUUCAAGGACCAGAUAAGAAACUGUGUGAAGAAAAAAAAAAAAAAAAAGAAACUAC